rnacentral:rRNA from 1 species
AAUAUUGCGCAAUGGACGGAAGUCUGACGCAGCGACGCCGCGUGAUGGAUGAAGGUCUUCGGAUCGUAAAGCUCUGUCUUUGGGGAAGAAGGGCUUCGGCCCUGACGGUACCCACGAAGAAAGCACCGGCUAACUACGUGCCAGCAGCCGCGGCAAUACGUAGGGGGCGAGCGUUGUCCCGAAUUACUGGGCGUAAAGUGUGCGUAGGCGGCCAUUUAAGUCAAAUUUGAAAGGCCACGGCUUAACCGUGGAACUGCAUUUGAAACUGGAGGGCUUGAGUGUCGGAGAGGGUAGUGGAAUUCCCAGUGUAGCGGUGAAAUGCGUAGAUAUUGGGAGAAACACCAGUGGCGAAGGCGACUACCUGGACGAUAACUGACGCUGAGGCACGAAAGCUAGGGGAGCAAAC